AAAAAAAGGCUUUGCCAAACUAAAAAAAGAGUGUAUUUCACUUAUGGGUUUUAGCCCAUUUUGUGCAAGCAAACAUGAAAAAGAAAAGAAAAAAAAUCAGUCAGCAAUGGUCCAUGAACCCCACACCUUUAAGGUAAGUGUCCUCCUAUAAAUAAGAAGUCUCCACAUUUCCCUUGAGGAACCAAGGAUUGAAUACACAAAACAUUGUAAAAAAAUAUAAGCUUGGUCUAAUAAAAGGAAAACAUAGAGAGGAGCGCGUGAUUGGUCUGGAAUUGUGGGUAGUAUUCGUGGCUUUUGUCAAGGCUCGUUUGAGGAAUUCGGAGGACUUGAGGAGGAAGAUCGUGAAGGAAAGUUCAAGGAGCGAGCUGGAAAAUCAACAGUUGAGUAUGGCGGACUGGUACGAGACGGUCGUCCCUUCGGGGGGGACCAGGUUUGAGAUGUUGGACCAAGACACCCCAAGCUCAUGGGUGGUCGACCCCGCCGGCCACCGAGCUAUCUAUUCAGGGCGAAUAAUGGAGGAUCGCAUUGACCGGAUGCCAAGCCUGACGCACGGAGUCUGGAGGCACUACACUAUCAGCUUCAACUUGCCACCGGGUGUACACUGCGGACCUGGACUGGGAGUGCCACCACCACCGUCGCCUUCGGACGACGAGGACCCCUCGGAGGAGGUGCCUGUGGGAGGGACUUCUUCAGGCACUAGUUCACCCACUGUCGCGGCUGCUGUUGACUUGGGAUCGGGUGCAGAACCCGCGCAACCAGCUGUGGAGACCGAUGCAGUCAUCGACAUAGUCGUCUUGGAUUCAGAUUCAGACGACGAUCUUGGGGAUGCAUAGUUGGGAUUAGUGUAGGAGAAGCGUCUUGGCUCUGAUGUUCAGUCUUUCGUUUUGGGCAGGGUAGGUCCCCGACCUUUAGCUUUUCUUGUGGUUCUCUUUACGGAAAUCACAGAGAGUUGGUUGGACUAGGGGGUCUUGUUUUAGGCCAUCUGGGCUGACUUAUUCUCAUUUUGAGGGUUUGUGUUGCAGACACUUAACCUUUUCUUUUGGAUUGUACCUUUUGCCUUCGGGCGUUACUCUAUUUUGCUGUCCGUCACUGGAGGGUUACUCGUGACGUGGUUUACUACUUACAGCGGGGGCUGUAACUAUUAUUGUAUAUUAGUUUUGUUA